rnacentral:rRNA from 1 species
GUAGGUGGCAAGCGUUGUCCGGAAUUAUUGGGCGUAAAGCGCGCGCAGGCGGUUCUUUAAGUCUGAUGUGAAAGCCCACGGCUCAACCGUGGAGGGUCAUUGGAAACUGGAGAACUUGAGUACAGAAGAGGAAAGCGGAACUCCACGUGUAGCGGUGAAAUGCGUAGAGAUGUGGAGGAACACCAGUGGCGGAGGCGGCUUUCUGGUCUGUAACUGACGCUGAGGCGCGAAAGCGUGGGGAGCAAACAGGGAUUAGAUACCCUGGUAGUCCACGCCGUAAACGAUGAGUGCUAAGUGUUAGGGGGUUUCCGCCCCCUUAGUGCUGCAGCUAACGCAUUAAGCACUCCGCCUGGGGAGUACGGCCGCAAGGCUG